CCGCUUUGAUUCAAAGACUAGCCCAACUAAUUUUCUCAAUAAAACUACCUUUGUUUCUUAUUAAACUAAAACAUUUAUAAGACUAGUAUAGGAGAUAGAAAAUUUCUUUAGGAGCUAUAGAGAUAGUACCGCAAGGGAAAGAUUGAAAGAAAACUUAUAGAAAAGAAAAGCAAAGAUAACACCUUUUACCUUUUGCAUAAUGGGUUAGCUAGACAUCCUUUGCACAGAGAACUAAAGUAUUAAAUCCCGAAACCAGACGAGCUACUUAAGGGCAGCUAACAAGAGCCAACUCAUCUAUGUAGCAAAAUAGUGAGAAGACCUUUAAGUAGAGGUGAAAAGCCUAACGAGUUUGGUGAUAGCUGGUUACUCAGUAAAGAAUUUUAGUUCAACUUUAAAUUUACCCAAGGAAUCCUACCCAAAAUGUAAAUUUAAAAGCUAGUCUAAAGAGGUACAGCUCUUUAGACAAAGGGUACAACCUUAAAUAGAGAAUAAUUUAUUUUACUACCAUUGUAGGCCUAAAAGCAGCCAUCAAUAAAGAAAGCGUUAAAGCUCAACAAAAAUCAUAAAAUAAUAACAACAAAAUCUAAUUCCUAACUUUUAACUGAGUCAUUCUACUUAACCGUGGAAGAAAUAAUGCUAACAUGAGUAACAAGAAUUAAUUUUCUCCUUGCACAAGUUUAUAUCAGACCGAAUAAAUCACUGAUAGUUAACAACAAAAUAACUAAAACUUAACCAAAUAAAUUCAGUUAUUUAUUUAAUUGUUAACCCAACACAGGAGUGCUUCAAGGAAAGACUAAAAGAAGUAAAAGGAACUCGGCAAACACAAGCCCCGCCUGUUUACCAAAAACAUCACCUCUAGCAUUAUUAAUAUUAGAGGCAAAGCCUGCCCAGUGACAAUAAUUGUUUAACGGCCGCGGUACCCUGACCGUGCAAAGGUAGCAUAAUCACUUGUUCUUUAAUUCAGGACUAGUAUGAAUGGCCUAACGAGGGCUUAACUGUCUCCUACUUCCAGUCAGUGAAAUUGACCUCCCCGUGAGGAGGCGGGGAUUAAAAAAUAAGACGAGAAGACCCUAUGGAGCUUUAGCUAAUUAUUCACCAGUAGUAGCAAUAUUCCAAUAGGUAUAAUACCACUAUUAUCUGGAUAAUAAACUUUGGUUGGGGUGACCUCGGAGAACAGAAAAUCCUCCGAGAGAUAAAAUUGAGACCUACUAGUCAAGACAUUUUAUCUUUUAUUGAUCCAAACAAUUUUGAUCAACGGAACAAGUUAUCCCUAGGGAUAACAGCGCAAUCCUACUUGAGAGUUCAUAUCGAAAGUAUGGGUUUACGACCUCGAUGUUGGAUCAGGACAUCCUGGUGGUGCAACAGCUACCAAAGGUUCGUUUGUUCAACGAUUAAAGUCCUAUCGUGAUCUGAGUUCAGACCGGAGUAAUCCAGGUCGGUUUCUAUCUAUUAUAUGUUUCUCCCAGUACGAAAGGACCAGAGAAACAAGGCCACCUAAUCAUUAGCGCCCUUUAUAAAAAGAUGAAACUAUCUCAAUCUUUAUAUAUAUUCAUAUUUAGCCCAAGAAAAGGGCUUUUUUUUC
rnacentral:rRNA from 1 species